UGGGGAAUAUUGGACAAUGGGCGCAAGCCUGAUCCAGCAACGCCGCGUGGAGGAUGAAGGUCUUCGGAUCGUAAACUCCUGUCAGACGGGACGAAGGUAGUGGGGUAAAUAAUCCCGCUGCUUGACGGUACUGCCAGAGGAAGCCCCGGCUAACUCCGUGCCAGCAGCCGCGGUAAUACGGAGGGGGCGAGCGUUAUUCGGAAUUAUUGGGCGUAAAGCGUGCGCAGGCGGUUUUGUAAGUCUGACGUGAAAGCCCCGGGCUUAACCUGGGAAUUGCGUUGGAGACUGCAAGGCUUGAAUCUGGCAGAGGGGGGUAGAAUUCCACGUGUAGCAGUGAAAUGCGUAGAGAUGUGGAGGAACACCGAUGGCGAAGGCAGCCCCCUGGGUCAAGAUUGACGCUCAUGCACGAAAGCGUGGGGAGCAAAC
rnacentral:rRNA from 1 species